CAUAAACCACCCAGCCCCACCUGCCCUUGUGCUCCUGUGUGGCGUCGUGUCUAAACCAAGGCUGGUCGACAAUGGCCGCACGUUCAAACGCGUGUCUGCCGGGGGUAUGCUCGCCGGCGCGACGCGGCCGGUUGCGCUCGGCAUCGUGGCCAAAGGAGGCCUUGGUGCAAUGGGAGUCGCGGCACUGAUCCACGGCCCGAUCGAUGUGGCGGGGACACGCGCAUACACACUGAGUCGGAUUUAGCGAGCACGCGACGCAGCGCUCGGCGCCGGCCAGGUCUGCCCAUGGGGCCAGACGGCCUUGAGCCCGACGAGCGGCCUCGACGCAACACGUGUAAAAGUCAUAAGGCCACGGCCCACUAGGAUCGGUGAGACCAGGUUCACGUAGCGGAGCGCCCCACCGGUGCACCACUGCACCGGCCUCGGAUGCCGCUUGCACAAGCGCCGCGUCAGUGUCAUAGUCGAUUUGCCACAUAUCUCCGUAUGUGACAUUGGCGUCGACGAGGUACUGGAGGCACCGACCCAGCACCCAGGGAUCGACAGGCGCGCCGCACACCUCGUCGACGACGGCGCACCAGCGACGCGAGACAAGACGCAACGGCGACAAGAUGCUUGACGACAUGCGAGGGUCGCUAUCGGCCAGGAUGUCGGCAAUGCUGACCAGGAUUUCGUCGGGCACGUCGUCGAUCCCUCGACCCAUGAACGAUGCUUCCGUCGUUGCCCACCCUCUGUGUAUUUUUUUGCUGCCUGAUGCUGAAAAGAAAGAGGCACAAAAGGCCAAAUGGGCCGCGGCCCCUGCUGGUGGAUACUGCAUCCAAUGAGUGUGGGCGAGAUCUCUCGUGGAGCGACCUGUUGCAUCUCAAUGGCGAUUGGACAGUUGCCAAGUCGACACCAUGCAACACGCAAGGGAAAAAGGCCAAAAAGACAGGGACCCCGU
rnacentral:lncRNA from 1 species